rfam:Oryza rufipogon genomic scaffold, chr03
AAAAAAGCAAACCCUGGAUUUGCGUGUCCAACUUUGACUGUCCGUCUUAUAUGAAAUUUUUUUAUAAUUCGUAUUUUCAUUGUUGUUAGAUGAUAAAACAUAAUAUUGAUAAAACAUGAUUAAUAUUUUAUGCGUGGCUUAUUUUUUUAAUUUUUUUCAUAAUUUUUUUAAAUAAGACGGACAGUCAAACGUUGGGCACGGAAACCAAGGUUUGUCUUUUUU